rnacentral:rRNA from 1 species
UACGAAGGGGGCGAGCGUUGUUCGGAAUUACUGGGCGUAAAGGCGCGUAGGCGGCCGAUCAAGUCAGAUGUGAAAGUCCUGGGCUUAACCUGGGGACUGCAUUUGAUACUGAUUGGCUUGAAUUCGGGAGAGGAUAGCGGAAUUCCCAGUGUAGAGGUGAAAUUCGUAGAUAUUGGGAAGAACACCGGUGGCGAAGGCGGCUAUCUGGACCGACAUUGACGCUGAGGCGCGAAAAGCGUGGGGAGCAAACAGG